ACGGGAGGCAGCAGUGGGGGAUAUUAGGCAAUGGGGGAAACCCUGACCUAGCGACGCCGCGUGAGGGAAGAAGGUCUUCGGAUUGUAAACCUCUGUCUUCGGGGACGAUAAUGACGGUACCCGAGGAGGAAGCUCCGGCUAACUACGUGCCAGCAGCCGCGGUAAUACGUAGGGAGCGAGCGUUAUCCGGAUUUAUUGGGUGUAAAGGGUGCGUAGGCGGGAGGUCAAGUUGAAUGUGAAAUACCGUGGCUUAACUGCGGGGCUGCGUUCAAAACUGAUCUUCUUGAGUACAGCAGAGGCAAGCGGAAUUCCCAGUGUAGCGGUAAUAUGCGUAGAUAUUGGGAGGAACACCAGUGGCGAAGGCGGCUUGCUGGGCUGAAACUGACGCUGAGGCACGAAAGUGUGGGGAGCAAACAGGAUUAGAUACCCUGGUA
rnacentral:rRNA from 2 species